CAUGGUCUGAGGAUGAUCGAGGCAUGAUCGAGGACUGUGCUUCCAUUGGAUGUGUGUUUGUCUGCAAUUGGAGCAAUAUCAUCAAAAGAUUCAGAGAAUCAGCAGAAAUGCACCAGGGACAAGGCCGAGAGUGUGGCUGACUGGAUGCUGGGGAUCUUCAGGCUCUCAGGUUGAGUCACUUGCCAAAUCCGAGAGCAGCGUCUGAGUGCACAUUGUGUUCAUUUCAUCGUACCUUCCUGUCCCACUCGGUGAAAGGUCACGGCGUAUCAUCACAUCAAAUCAACUUUAAAUCUACCAGUUUCACAAUUCAGCAAAAAGCAGCGUGUCUCAGCAAGGAUCUCUGGCAUCGAGUCUGCCGGGAACUGCGUGUCUUUUUUAGAAAGGACAAGAUGGACAUACCCUACGCUGACAUACGUUUUCACCCUCCUCCUUCCCCACCGCCUCCAGUUCGGUCCCGCUGGCUGCCCAUUGGAUAGGCUCCGCCCCCGCCGUACCUGUACGGCAGGAUCUGCGAGGUUCCAGACGCUGCGGACCUGGGCUUUCGACGGUGCUUUCACCAAAGACUCUAUAUAUUCACUAUUACUAAUUGUCAUACGUGUUUAUUGGGAUUAAAUCUUUCUUGCUGCACUUUGUCUCUAGAGUUUUC